GCCUGGGUGGCUCAGUUGGUUGAGCAUCUGACUUCGGCUCAGGUCAUGAUCUCGCGGUCCGUGGGUUCGAGCCCCACGUCGGGCU
rnacentral:tRNA from 1 species